AUUGAACGCUGGCGGCAGGCCUAACACAUGCAAGUCGAACGAGUGGCGGACGGGUGAGUCAUGUCUGGGAAACUGCCCGAUGGAGGGGGGUAACUACUGGAAACGGUAGCUAAUACCGCAUACCAUCGGAUGUGCCCAGAUGGGAUUAGCUAGUAGGUGGGGUAACGGCUCACCUAGGCGCCGAUCCCUAGCUGGUCGGAGAGGAUGACCAGACACAAUGGAACUUAAACACGGGCCGGACUCCUACGGGAGGAGGCAGUGGGUAAUAUGGCAAAAUGGGCGCAAGCCUGAUGCAGCCAUGCCGCGUGGAUGAAGAAGGCUUUCGGGGUGUAAAGUACUUUCAGCGAGGAGGCGUUACUCGCAGAAGAAGCACCGGCUAACUCCGUGCCAGCAGCCGCGGUAAUAC
rnacentral:rRNA from 1 species